UGGGGAAUUUUGCACAAUGGGCGCAAGCCUGAUGCAGCGACGCCGCGUGAGGGAUGAAGGCCUUCGGGUUGUAAACCUUUUUCGCUCAUGGUCAAGCCGCAGCUUUGGGUUGUGGUGAGGGUAGUGGGUAAAGAAGCGCCGGCUAACUACGUGCCAGCAGCCGCGGUAAUACGUAGGGCGCGAGCGUUGUCCGGAAUUAUUGGGCGUAAAGCGCGCGCAGGCGGCUACUUAAGUCCAUCUUAAAAGUGCGGGGCUUAACCCCGUGAUGGGAUGGAAACUGAGAAGCUGGAGUGUCGGAGAGGAAAGUGGAAUUCCUAGUGUAGCGGUGAAAUGCGUAGAGAUUAGGAAGAACACCGGUGGCGAAGGGGACUUUCUGGACGACAACUGACGCUUAGGCGCGAAAGCGUGGGGAGCAAACAGG
rnacentral:rRNA from 1 species